GCCGGGCACAGUGGCUCAUGCCUGUAAUCCUCACACUUUGGGAGGCUGAGGCAGAUGGAUCACUUGAGGCAAGGAGUUCUGGACCAUCCUGGCCAACAUGGCGAAACUCCAUCUCUACCAAAAAUACAAAAAUUAGCCGGGCGUGGUGGUGUGUGCCUGUAAUCCCAGCUACUAGGGAGGCUGAGGCAGGAGGAUUGCUUGAACCCAGAAGGUAGAGGUUGCAGUGAACCAAGAUGGUGCCAGUGCACUCCAGCCUGGGUGACAAAGUGAGACUCUGUCUCA
rnacentral:sRNA from 1 species